rnacentral:rRNA from 1 species
GACGGACGCUGGCGGCGUGCUUAACACAUGCAAGUCGAACGGUGAAGCGCCUUCCUUUUUGGUGGGUGUGGAUGAGUGGCGAACGGGUGAGUAACACGUGAGUAACCUGCCCCCUUCUUCUGGAUAACCGCAUGAAAGUGUGGCUAAUACGGGAUAUUCUGGGUCUGUCGCAUGAUGGGUCUGGGAAAGAUAUUGUUUCGGUGGGGGAUGGGCUCGCGGCCUAUCAGCUUGUUGGUGGGGUGAUGGCCUACCAAGGCGGUGACGGGUAGCCGGCCUGAGAGGGUGGACGGUCACACGGGGACUGAGACACGGCCCAGACUCCUACGGGAGGCAGCAGUGGGGAAUAUUGCACAAUGGGCGCAAGCCUGAUGCAGCGACGCCGCGUGAGGGAUGGAGGCCUUCGGGUUGUGAACCUCUUUCGCCAGUGAAGCAGGCCUGCCUCGUUUGUGGGUGGGUUGACGGUAGCUGGAUAAGAAGCGCCGGCUAACUACGUG